rnacentral:tRNA from 1 species
GUUGUGGCUCAGUGGUAGAGUGCUUGCCUAGCACAAGUGAGGUCCUGCCUAGGUUCGAUCUUCAGCACCACA